rnacentral:rRNA from 1 species
UUACCGAGUUUACAACUCCCAAACCCCUGUGAACAUACCAAUUGUUGCCUCGGCGGAUCAGCCCGCUCCCGGUAAAACGGGACGGCCCGCCAGAGGACCCCUAAACUCUGUUUCUAUAUGUAACUUCUGAGUAAAACCAUAAAUAAAUCAAAACUUUCAACAACGGAUCUCUUGGUUCUGGCAUCGAUGAAGAACGCAGCAAAAUGCGAUAAGUAAUGUGAAUUGCAGAAUUCAGUGAAUCAUCGAAUCUUUGAACGCACAUUGCGCCCGCCAGUAUUCUGGCGGGCAUGCCUGUUCGAGCGUCAUUUCAACCCUCAAGCCCAGCUUGGUGUUGGGACUCGCGAGUCAAAUCGCGUUCCCCAAAUUGAUUGGCGGUCACGUCGAGCUUCCAUAGCGUAGUAGUAAAACCCUCGUUACUGGUAAUCGUCGCGGCCACGCCGUUAAACCCCAACUUCUGAAUGUUGACCUCGGAUCAGGUAGGAAUACCCGCUGAACUUAAGCAUAUCAAUAAGCGGAGGAAAAGAAACCAACAGGGAUUGCCCUAGUAACGGCGAGUGAAGCGGCAACAGCUCAAAUUUGAAAUCUGGCUCUCGGGCCCGAGUUGUAAUUUGUAGAGGAUACUUUUGAUGCGGUGCCUUCCGAGUUCCCUGGAACGGGACGCCAUAGAGGGUGAGAGCCCCGUCUGGUUGGAUGCCAAAUCUCUGUAAAGUUCCUUCGACGAGUCGAGUAGUUUGGGAAUGCUGCUCUAAAUGGGAGGUAUAUGUCUUCUAAAGCUAAAUACCGGCCAGAGACCGAUAGCGCACAAGUAGAGUGAUCGAAAGAUGAAAAGCACUUUGAAAAGAGAGUUAAAAAGUACGUGAAAUUGUUGAAAGGGAAGCGUUUAUGACCAGACUUGGGCUUGGUUAAUCAUCUGGGGUUCUCCCCAGUGCACUUUUCCAGUCCAGGCCAGCAUCAGUUUUCCCCGGGGGAUAAAGACUUCGGGAAUGUGGCUCUCUUCGGGGAGUGUUAUAGCCCGUUGUGUAAUACCCUGGGGGGGACUGAGGUUCGCGCAUCUGCA